UUUGUGCUCCACCAGCUCAUUGGUAAUUGCCGCAAGGCUCCCGAGGGGACCCCGGGAGGAAGCAAACAGCAUCUUGAAUGCUGGGAAUUCCCCAAAGGGGUCCAGAGCUACCCGCUAAAAUCCUGGGCUUUCGCUUUCCAUACUGUCCUCACUGCAAAGCCGAUGGUCUGUGCCUGUCCCUCCCCAUCCUGCCGGCAGCCAGCUCAGUUCUUCCCAGCUGGACACAACACACGUCUCCUCCAACAGCAGCAGCUGGGACCCCGAACCAGCUCUGCACCCUGAGCUGCUGUGCACUGAGAUUUUUAACUCGUUUGACCAAAUGAGAUGAAAUUUCAGGGACCUCAGAAAUACCAAGCUCCCUAAUUUCCAUGAGUAUGAAGACCUGUUACCACUCCUAACACAGGAAAGGAACAGCAACUCAUCUUUCUCUGGGUGUCUGGGAAAGAUGCAGAUUGCCACCUUCUCCUCCACAGCCACUGAAAUGGGAGCCCAGCUAAUGAAAAAUAGUUCUGUUCUCAGCUGAGUUGACAGUGUUACCACAGUAUGGAUUGGGAGUAACUCCAGGAAAGUGAGUGCAAAUACCACAGCUUUCCACUUUGGAGCUCAGACCAGAAUGUUUCCUGAUACCCUGAGGAAGCUGGAGGAGGGAGGGAUACUGGGCUUUGGUUUUAUGACUGUGUAGUAUCUUAAACAGCCCAGGAGAGGUUUGGAGCCUCUUUCUGCUCUGGAUUAUGGUGGUGUCAGACUGCAGCAAUGGCACAAAGACAAAUGAGCAUUCCCCAGGUAAGAAUGAGGCCAAAGAAGAAUUUGCUUUUUGUGGCUUCUAAUUCAGUGCAAAGAUGACAUAAUAUUUUGUGCAUUUUAAGUUGCAUCUGUCUGCAACAGAGGAGCAUUUAAUUCAGGAUGUGAAAGCAUUUUUCCUAGCAGCUGGAGCAGACACUGAGGACUGAACUGAGGAAAGUAGCACAGGAUCAGAAAAAGGCUCUUAUCUCUCUGGGCUACAAACUAGGAAGGAUGAAAAAGGGAAGG